rnacentral:tRNA from 2 species
GUUUUAAUAGUUUAAAAAAAACACUGGUUUUGUAAACCAAAAUUAAGAGAGCACUUUUAAAACU